CGUAGGGUGCGAGCGUUAAUCGGAAUUACUGGGCGUAAAGCGUGCGCAGGCGGUGAUGUAAGACAGUUGUGAAAUCCCCGGGCUCAACCUGGGAAUUGCAUCUGUGACUGCAUCGCUAGAGUACGGUAGAGGGGGAUGGAAUUCCGCGUGUAGCAGUGAAAUGCGUAGAUAUGCGGAGGAACACCGAUGGCGAAGGCAAUCCCCUGGACCUGUACUGACGCUCAUGCACGAAAGCGUGGGAGCAAACAGGAUU
rnacentral:rRNA from 1 species